GAGACCAAGGGUGCCCUGCUCAAUGUCAGCCCUGACUCUGUGCCACGUGCACUCAGCUCUGCCACGGAGGUGCAUGGCUCUGUAGACGUGGACGGUGAGCUGGGGAGGAAGGUGGUCUUGGAGAGAAAUGCCCCAUGGGGAGCUGAGACCUGUGUGUCAUGGGAUCAUCCUGGAUUUGGCUUAAAAUCCACGUGGCUGUGGAAAUCCCAGGGUGCACCGAGGAUCUGUGGGGGAGCAGGGGUAAGUCCAGGUGAACCUCGAGCUGUUCUCAGCCCUGAGGUUUGGGUCACUCCGAGAGCACUUGGGUCUCUGCCGAACGGCACAGAUCAUUCUCAGGCCCUUACAACCAUCCGGGUCACUCUAGAAUUCCUUUUAGGACUCCUGGGCUGGGCUGUGGCUAUUCAGGACUCUGGGUAAGAGCCCUUGGAGUCACCUGGGAGGUAGAAUCGCCAUUUUCUAGCAGCCAUCUUGAAUGGCAGAUUCCCUGCAGUUCAAGCUGGGGCUGCCCAAGGGGUUCUGGGGGGUCCUGGGUGCCUUCCAGUUGCCCCUCCAGGUGCACCCCCUCCUCCCCCAGGACACUGACCGGCGGGGGCCAUCGUGGGGGACCUUGUGCUCUCUGGCUCUGGCUGGCUCAGCCAGUGGGAGCCUGUGGGGCUGGGAGGGAGGAGGGUGUGAUGAGGCAUCUCCUUCCCGCUGGGCUCCUCCCCACCUCUUUCCUCCUUUUCCAAGUCCCCUGACCAUCCCUCCCCUAUCUCUCCAGGUCUCUUAAAUUACCACGGUGCCAGCUACAUGGCCCGGGUGGGUGGUUCCCCACACUGCCUACCCCUUCAUACCUCGCCCCAUUACACCCUCCUGGAAUCAUUCUCACUGGAGGCUGCACCGUUUCCUGCUGCCCACGAUGAACAAAGCAGGAAACUGUCUUUUCCAGACUUCCCCACGAAGUGAGGUUUUGACGACCUCAUUCUCCAAGAGCAAACCCAGCCCCUGGAGUCCGUUCUUUCCCUGCGCGCGUGGACACCCCUGCAGCAGUGGCUCCUUUUGGUGGCCGCUCUUCAGACACGUGCUAGAGAGCAAUCAUUGAUGACAACGUUUUCUUUCAAAAGGCCCAGAAAACAAAAUUAAAUCUUGGGACUCGAAGCUUCCUGGGCCUGUGCCACGAAGGCCCAUGCUUAGCCGGUCUGGUGCCAGGCUCUGUGACGUGUGGAAACCAGGCCCACCGACCACACAGCAGUGGCUGAGGAUGGCUCCCUCCUCGGCUACUCUCUGAAAUGGUAGAGGCCACUCUCAUGGCUGAGUGGUCUCCGCCGUUCUGCAGAGGUGUGGAUAAGAACAGGAGUUCCUGCUUGUCUCCUAGGGGUCCGUAUUGAACGUUGGCAAUCAGUGGAAAUCCUGUCUCAGGCCCUCUCGGGGCCCCACACUGAUCAUUGUAUUUAAAUCCUCCCAGUGUCCUGCAGACACCUACCUCCCAGACCAAAGAGGGACCUUGCUGGUGGCCAGGAAACAAGCUGAAGCACAGAGAGGAGAGAAAGAGACAGAGUUGGGUCCUCGGGUCACCUUAAAAGGCUGUGAGACUUUUUGCCAGGGCAGGGCCUGGCGGGUGGUGGAGAUGCAGGAUGAAGGACUUAAGGAGGGAUCUUUUACUUUCAGUGUGAAAGUGACCUGUGUUUUUAUGAGGGGGCUAGAGAAAUACUCAGAAUCUGAGAGCAGGCAGUUGGAGUGGGAUCUCAGCAAACUUCCGUGUCUGCAUGGUCCUGCAACCAUCGCCCUGGACAGAGGUCUCAGCUGGGUAGAGAUGGACGGUUGUCAGGGCACAGCCUGUCCUUAGGGGGUGCUAGGAAUGGGGAUUGGGGUGAAGAGGAGUUCAGGAAAGAGGGGUGAGGCAUGGGGAACCUGCUGGCUUAGAGGAUGCAAAGGGGCAGGUUUUAUGGACGCUUUAUGCAGGUCCCUUUCAUAAAGAUACUUGCCCAGCCUGAGCAGAAACCCACACCCUAGAGUUUGUUUCUUCCCUGUGGGCACCCCCCGCCCCCGCAGCAGCGGCUUCUUUCAGUGGCAGAGGCUGACUCUUUUUGCAGCUUCUCCAGCACUUGCAAAUGCAACUUCCUUGCACCCACUUCAGACACUUUACAGCUGGAACCCCUUCCUUCAAGGUUAGGGGCCCAGGCCCACAGCCCCUACCUCCAAGUUUCCACGUUUGAAGAAUCCCAACCUUUUCCCUUUGCCUCCUCAGCCUCAGGGGUGACACCUCAGAGCUCCUGUUUACCUCUUUAGCCACCAGGUUAGUAAUUUUACACCCAUGCAAGUGUGUACAGGAAUCUUCCGGAUCCAAGUGGCUGGUGUGGGCGUUGUCUUCUGUCUGAACCCUGGCCCUUGUCUGUGCAGAUUCCUCCCCUCCUGUCCGGGAGAGAAGAGACAGUUUCGAUGUCAUGUGGAGACAGGAGGCUGUGGUCAACGAGGGGAGGCUGUGGUCAACGAGGGGAGGCUGUGGUGGGGGGUGGCGUUCUGAGUCACUUGGCUGGCUUGGGAAUGUGAGCUGGGCCAGGUGCACCUUAGAGAGCCUGGGUGGUGCUGGGGACCUUCAGGCUCUGGAGUCCUGGGUGACCCUGACAGGUGCAUGUACCCACAUCUCCUUGGCCCCUGUCUCUGUUGCUAAUGUCCCUGCACAGACCCCCCCCAGCCGUCAUUUACAGAUUCCCAGCAGUGAAGCACACGGGCUUAGGUUAAAAUCACUGAGCCCCUUGCACAGCGGCCUUCUGGUCCCCUCUGCUGUAAGGCAGGACCACCUGUCAGCCCCUGUCUUCUGGGGACCCCACUAGGCCUAAGAGAUGAGGCUGUGGGGUUCUGUCUUCUGGAGGCCCCACUAGGCCUAAGAGAUGAGGCCGGCGGCGGAGGUCUGGCCUGGAAGAGAAAUGUGGUGAGUCACCCCAGGCCUGACAGAUUCACUCAGACCUGGUCCUUCUGCUCCUAGGCUGAGCCAUCUCUCAGGGACCCUCCUGCCCUCCUUCACCUCUCACCUGGCCUGCCCCAACCAGUUCUCCAGGCAAGCCCAAACCAGUUCCACCUGGUUUGUGACUGUGUUUGGAAAGAGGGUCUUUGCCGAGGUAAUUAAGUUAAAAUGAGGUCAUGUGAGUGGGCCCUGAGCCAGUCUGAUGGGUGUCCUUACAGGAAGACAUUAGGACUCCCAGAGGGUGACUCCAGGGGCAGGUGGCUUGGAGGACUGGCCGUGCAAGGAGGCAGCAAAGGGGCGGCCAUCUGCAAGCUGAGGGCAGAGGCCUUGGAGGAAGCAGCCCUGCCAGUGCUGGUAACUGUGAGUGCAUCUGUCUCUGUUGGUCAAGCCGGCAGCCUGGGGCAUUUUGCUGAGGCCGCCCCAGCCGCCUAGCAUAGUCGCCAAUAAGUCCCCGAGGUUCUGGUGUGCUCUCUGGACUAGUUUCCUGGGGUGGCUGCAACAAAUUGCCACAAACACAGUGGUUUAAACCACGCAAAUGUCGCUCCCGCAGCCUGCAGGUCGGAAGUCCAAACCAAGGUGCUGGAAGGGCUGGUUCCUUCCGGACCCUUCAGGGGAGAAUCUUUCUGCCUCUUUGGCUUCUUGAGGCCCCUUCCUGGCAUUGCUUCUUUCUCCACUGACUCCUACCAUCAGCGCUGAGUCCUGCCUGCCUCUUAUAAGAUCUUCAGAGGCCACCUGGGAUGUCAGAAGCUUCCAGGAACCAGGAGGUAGCUGCAUCUCCUGUCCCUUCCCUGAGUCACCUUGCUGGACUCCACAGUGUGGUGCAGACAAGAAGCUGCAGGGGACAACAUGGAAGGAAGCGGGGAUGGAGGAGAUGGAAUGGGAUGGGCUCUGGGCCCGGCCAAGCAGAGCAGGAUAGGGCUGAGAGUCAUCUGAGCACAGGUGGUUCAAAUGGCAGAGAAGCUCCACGCUGGAGCGGGGAAGAGCUUGGGCUUUCCGGCCAGAAAGCGCAGGUUUUGGCCACGGCUCUUCUGCCACUCACUAGAUGUGGGAGUUUGGAGGCGUUACCCGAGCUCUGAGCCUUACUUUCCUCAUCUGAAAAAUGGGAAUA
ensembl:lncRNA novel transcript